CCGGCGCACGGGUGAGUAACGCGUAUGCAACCUACCUUAUACUGGGGGAUAGCCCAGAGAAAUCUGGAUUAAUACCGCAUAACAUAUUUGAAUCGCAUGGUUCGAAUAUUAAAACUCCGGUGGUAUAAGAUGGGCAUGCGUAGCAUUAGUUAGUUGGUAAGGUAACGGCUUACCAAGACAAUGAUGCUUAGGGGGUCUGAGAGGAUAGUCCCCCACACUGGUACUGAGGCACGGACCAG
rnacentral:rRNA from 1 species